rnacentral:lncRNA from 1 species
UGGGCAUUAUUUUGACUUUCGAGAGGUUAGGAGAGAGGGAUCUACUUUGUAUUCAUGUAUUCUUCACUGACUUCAAAUCUUCAUCUCUUUUCUGAUUUUGGUUCUGUUACUUGGUGUGUUGAAAGAAGGAAAUGCAAAAUGCCAACUAGUCCGUCAUCACUCAAAAAGCACAAAGAAAAUCGGAAAUAGCGGCCACAGGAAGUUAUAAAAGGAUUGUCAUUAGAACAGUCUAGAGGGUCUACCUAAUCCAUUUUUCUGUUUCAUUGUUUGUGUAUAAUUGAGGAGAAUAUUUUCUAUUUAUUUUGUUUCUUGUACAACAAUUAUUAACAGAUUUUGGUACCUCUUCUGUAUAAAUAUAGAAUUCUAGUGGAUGUAAGAUUUAAUGGAAAUGCAUAUAUAGUUUUUCUCUCAAUUUAGAUUGUUUAGCAAUUUUUUU